UCCGGUGGCAGUUUUAUUAAUUGUUCAGCAGUCUUAUGGCUUGGGGGUAGAAGCUGUUGAGGAGCCUUUUGUUCCUAGACUUCGCGCUCCGGAACCGCUUGCCGUGCGAUAGCAGAGAAAACAGUCUAGAAUUUGGGUGACGGGAGUCUCUGACAAUUUUAUGGGCUUUCCUCUGACACGCCUAUUGUAUAGGUCCUGGAUGGCAGGAAGCUUGGCCCCAGUGAUGUACUGGGCCGUUCGCACUACCCUCUGUAGCGCCUUACGGUCAGAUGCCGAGCAGUUGCCAUACCAGGCGCUGAUGCAACCGGUCAGGAUGCUAUCGAUGGUGCAGCUGUAGAACCUUUUGAGGAUCUCGGGACCCAUGCCAAAUCUUUUCAGUCUCCUGAGGGGGAAAAGAUUUUGUUGUGCCCUCUUCACGACUGUCUUGGCAUGUUUGGACCAGGAGUCGUGUUUGGAGUCGUGUUUGGCCACGCAGUCGUGGGUGAACAGGGAAUACAGGAGGGGACAAAGUACACACCCCUGAGGGGCCCCAGUGUUAAGGAUCAGUGUGGCAGACGUGUUGUUGCCUACUCUUACCACCUGGGGGCAGCCUGUCACGAAGUCCAGGAUCCAGUUGCAGAGGGAGGUAUUUAGUCCCAGAGUCCUUAGCUUAGUGAUGAGCUUUGUGGGCACUAUGGUGUUGAACCCUGAACUGUAGUCAAUGAAAAGCAUUCUCACAUAGGUGUUCCUUUUGUCCAGGUGAGAAAGGGCCGUGUGGAGUGCGAUUGCAUCACCUGUGGAUCUGUUGGGGCGGUAUGCGAAUUGGAGUGGGUCUAGGGUGUCCGGGAGGAUGCUGUUGAUGUGAGCCAUGACCAGCCUUUUAAAGCACUUCAUGGCUACCGACGUGAGUGCCACGGGGCGGUAAUCAUUUUGGCAGGUUACCUUCACUUCCUUGGGCACAGGGACUAUGGUGGUCUGCUUAAAACAUGUUUGUAUUACAGACUCAGUCAGGGAGAGAUUGAAAAUGUCAUUGAAGACACUUGAAAGUUGGUCCGCGCAUGCUUUGAGUACACGUCCUGGUAAUCUGUCAGGCCCAGCGGCUUUGUGAAUUUUGACCUGUUUAAAGGUUUUGUUCACACCGGCUACUGAGAGCGUUAUCAAAUCAAAUGUAUUAUCAGCUGAUGUAAGAAGGGCUAUAUAUCUCAAAGUGCUGUACAGAAACCUAGCCUAAAACCCCAAACAGCAAGCAAUGCAGGUGAAGAAGCAUGGUGGCUAGGAAAAACUCCCUAGAAAGGCCAAACCUAGGAAGAAACCUAGAGAGGAACCAGGCUAUGAGGGGUGGCCAGUCCUCUUCUGGCUGUGCCGGGUGGAAAUUAUAACAGAACAUGGCCAAGAUGUUCAAAUGUUCAUAAAUGACCAGCAUGGUCAAAUAAUAAUAAGUAAUCACAUGCUAAUGUAAAAAGCUGUUUUUUGAUAUAAAUAUGAACUUGAUUGAACAAAACAUGCAUGUAUUG
rnacentral:lncRNA from 1 species